rnacentral:rRNA from 1 species
GACGAACGCUGGCGGCGUGCCUAAUACAUGCAAGUCGAACGAACUCUGGUUUUUGAUUGACGGUGCUUGCACCUGAUUGAUUAAACAUUUGAGUGAGUGGCGAACUGGUGAGUAACACGUAGGAAACCUGCCCAGAAGCGGGGGGAUAACACCUGGAAACAGAUGCUAAUACCGCAUAACAACUUGAACCGCAUGGUUCGAGUUUGAAAGAUGGCUCUGCUAUCACUUCUGGAUGGUCCUGCGGCGUAUUAGCUAGAUGGUGAGGUAACGGCUAACCAUGGAAAUGAUACGUAGCCGACCUGAGAGGGUAAUCGGCCACAUUGGGACUGAGACACGGCCCAAACUCCUACGGGAGGCAGCAGUAGGGAAUCUUCCACAAUGGACGAAAGUCUGAUGGAGCAACGCCGCGUGAGUGAAGAAGGGUUUCGGCUCGUAAAACUCUGUUGUUAGAGAAGAACAUAUCUGAGAGUAACUGUUCAGGUAUUGACGGUAUCUAACCAGAAAGCCACGGCUAACUACGUGCCAGCAGCCGCCGUAA